GAUGAACGCUGGCGGCGUGCCUAAUACAUGCAAGUCGAGCGAACAGACGAGGAGCUUGCUCCUCUGACGUUAGCGGCGGACGGGUGAGUACCACGUGGAUAACCUACCUAUAAGACUGGGAUAACUUCGGGAAACCGGAGCUAAUACCGGAUAAUAUAUUGAACCGCAUGGUUCAAUAGUGAAAGACGGUUUUGCUGUCACUUAUAGAUGGAUCCGCGCCGCAUUAGCUAGUUGGUAAGGUAACGGCUUACCAAGGCGACGAUGCGUAGCCGACCUGAGAGGGUGAUCGGCCACACUGGAACUGAGACACGGUCCAGACUCCUACGGGAGGCAGCAGUAGGGAAUCUUCCGCAAAGGGCGAAAGCCUGACGGAGCAACGCCGCGUGAGUGAUGAAGGUCUUCGGAUCGUAAAACUCUGUUAUUAGGGAAGAACAAAUGUGUAAGUAACUAUGCACGUCUUGACGGUACCUAAUCAGAAAGCCACGGCUAACUACGUG
rnacentral:rRNA from 1 species